rnacentral:lncRNA from 1 species
UUGGGGAAUGGAUCAUAGAUACAUGGCUACAGAUCACGUGGUCUCUGAUAUAAAUCUAUUGAACAAGAACACAAUAGUUAAGACAAGUAAUCCAAAAAGGUACUACUACCAAAUGGUGAUAUAUCUAUGUCAAACACACAGGGUCUAGCUCUAUUAUAGAAGAAACCCUAUAACAAAUGUGUUUUAUGUUCCUUAGUUUAAAUACAAUCUACUUUCUAUCUCCAA